GGUAUCUUUUUCUCUGGGUGUACAACUGUGCGGAAGAUGUCAGGGAGAUUGGAGAGCGGAGAAUACAGAGAGGGAAGUGUGCACUCUGCCGCAGUCUAAUAUCAAAUGACAAAUCUCUGGCUGACUUGGGACAUUAAAAUUAUUACUUUUCCUGGGAGUGUGUUUUGUACUUUAACGAGCGCAAAAGAUCGUAAAGCCCGAAAAAAGUAUACACUAAAAGAUAGAGACAGAGACAGAAAACGGGAGGAAGAGGCGGUACCAGGCGAACGAGCAGCUGGAGCAACGUUAAUAAAAUCUACUUAAUGGCAAAUAAAAGUUACAACAAAUAUAUAACCAUAACUAUACGAAAA